AUUGAACGCUGGCGGCAUGCCUUACACAUGCAAGUCGAACGGCAGCACGGGAGUAAUCCUGGUGGCGAGUGGCGAACGGGUGAGUAAUAUAUCGGAACGUGCCCAGUCGUGGGGGAUAACGCAGCGAAAGCUGUGCUAAUACCGCAUACGAUCUACGGAUGGAAGCGGGGGAUCGCAAGACCCCGCGCGAUUGGAGCGGCCGAUAUCAGAUUAGCUAGUUGGUGGGGUAACGGCCCACCAAGGCGACGAUCUGUAGCUGGUCUGAGCGGACGAACAGCCGCACGGGAAGUGAGACACGGGCCAGACUCCUAUGGGAGGCAGCAGGGGGGAAUUUUGGACAAUGGGCGCAAGCCUGAUCCAGCAAUGCCGCGUGCAGGAUGAAGGCCUUCGGGUUGUAAACUGCUUUUGUACGGAACGAAACGGCCCUUUCUAAUACAGGGGGCUAAUGACGGUACCGUAAGAAUAAGCACCGGCUAACUACGUGCCAGCAGCCGCCGCCG
rnacentral:rRNA from 1 species